AUGGAUACGGUGUUGUUUUGGAGAGUCUGGUUAGGGUUAGGAGAAGUGGCUUUUAGACUUCAUAAAGCUGAUUUUCUUCUUCUUCUUCCUCCUUGCAAAAUGACGCGUCUCAUUCUCUGGCGAAUAUCAGUGAUCCACCACCGUCAUUUCGACCCUGGAAUCCUCAUCCACAUUGAACCCCACAUACGAACCUAG